UACGAAGGGGGCGAGCGUUGUUCGGAUUUACUGGGCGUAAAGGGCGCGCAGGCGGCUAUCCAAGUCAGGCGUGAAAGCCCCGGGCUCAACCCGGGAGGGUCGUCGUGAACCGGCGGGCUUGAGGCCGGUAGAGGUGGGUGGAACUCCUGGUGGAGUGGUGAAAUGCGUAGAGAUCAGGAAGAACACCCGUGGCGAAGGCGGCCCACUGGGCCGGUACUGACGCUGAGGCGCGAAGGCGUGGGGAGCGAACGGG
rnacentral:rRNA from 1 species